CCCCAGACUCCUACGGGAGGCAGCAGUGGGGAAUAUUGCACAAUGGGGGAAACCCUGAUGCAGCGACGCCGCGUGAGUGAAGAAGUAUUUCGGUAUGUAAAGCUCUAUCAGCAGGGAAGAAAAUGACGGUACCUGACUAAGAAGCCCCGGCUAACUACGUGCCAGCAGCCGCGGUAAUACGUAGGGGGCAAGCGUUAUCCGGAUUUACUGGGUGUAAAGGGAGCGUAGACGGCAUGGCAAGUCAGAUGUGAAAGCCCGGGGCUCAACCCCGGGACUGCAUUUGAAACUGUCAGGCUGGAGUGCGGGAGAGGUAAGUGGAAUUCCUAGUGUAGCGGUGAAAUGCGUAGAUAUUAGGAGGAACACCAGUGGCGAAGGCGGCUUACUGGACUGUAACUGACGUUGAGGCUCGAAAGCGUGGGGAGCAAACAGGAUUAGAUACCCUAGUA
rnacentral:rRNA from 1 species